AUGGGGGGGAAAUGUUUUAUUUAUUUAGUCCAUUUUGAAUUCCUGCUGUAACACAACUAAAUGUGGAAUUGUUUAAGUGAAAUUAUUAUUAUUAUUAUAGUUAUGAAAACUUCAUCACGUUGUGAGAUGAGGCGAGAUAUCUCCUAGACACCAUGUCAUUUAAAUAAAUAAAUAAAUAAAUAAAUCAGUGUGAUGAUGUAGAAUCAACGUGGAAAACUGAUUAGAUUUGCAAAAAGUUAUCGACAUAAGGGAAUUUACUUUUUGUGUUGAUUUCACAAUGACAUUAGAUAUCUCCUAGUCUCUCUCUGUGGGGAACAGUCUGUUACAGUAGAUAUCUCCUAGUCUCUCUCUGUGGGGAACAGUCUGUUCCAUUAGACAUCUCCUAGUCUCUCUCUGUGGGGAACAGUCUGUUACAGUAGAUAUCUCCUAGUCUCUCUCUGUGGGGAACAGUCUGUUCCAUUAGACAUCUCCUAGUCUCUCUCUGUGGGGAACAGUCUGUUCCAUUAGACAUCUCCUAGUCUCUCUCUGUGGGGAACAGUCUGUUCCAUUAGACAUCUCCUAGUCUCUCUCUGUGGGGCUGAGAGCAGCGGUAGACCAGGUCUGUCUAAGAUGUCUGUUGUGACUGUGAGGUAAAGGAGUGGAAGACAGGAUAUGUCAGUGGACUAACCCCGUUCUGAGAACUCUGCCUCAGCCCCACCCCCCCCUCUUCCACUGAGCUGAGACGUCUAGCGACUGAGCCGCCUAGCGAGAACGCCUGGAUCCUGACAAGCCGUCUUAUUCCUCUUCCACCUCCGUCAGGAUGAAGAACCAAAAUAAAAAAAGACGAUGUAUUUUCCUCUUACUUUUCCUGGUCACUCUUCUUCUGUCUCCCUCUUUGGCAAGGCAAACUGACUACGCUCCCUAUUUCCAUGACAACGGACCGAGCAGCACCAAUGGGAAUAUGGCUCUGUUCAGUAUCUCAGAAGACACAGAAGUCGG